UACGAAGGGGGCGAGCGUUGUUCGGAUUUACUGGGCGUAAAGAGCUCGUAGGCGGUUUGUCGCGUCUGCUGUGAAAACUGGAGGCUCAACCUCCAGCCUGCAGUGGGUACGGGCAGACUAGAGUGCGGUAGGGGAGAUUGGAAUUCCUGGUGUAGCGGUGGAAUGCGCAGAUAUCAGGAGGAACACCGAUGGCGAAGGCAGAUCUCUGGGCCGUAACUGACGCUGAGGAGCGAAAGCAUGGGGGAGCGAACAGG
rnacentral:rRNA from 1 species